rnacentral:rRNA from 1 species
UCCAGACUCCUACGGGAGGCAGCAGUGGGGAAUAUUGGACAAUGGGGGGAACCCUGAUCCAGCGACGCCGCGUGAGUGAAGAAGUAUUUCGGUAUGUAAAGCUCUAUCAGCAGGGAAGAAAGAAAUGACGGUACCUGACUAAGAAGCCCCGGCUAACUACGUGCCAGCAGCCGCGGUAAUACGUAGGGGGCAAGCGUUAUCCGGAUUUACUGGGUGUAAAGGGGGCGCAGACGGCGAUGCAAGCCAGGAGUGAAAGCCCGGGGCCCAACCCCGGGACUGCUCUUGGAACUGCGUGGCUGGAGUGCAGGAGGGGCAGGCGGAAUUCCUGGUGUAGCGGUGAAAUGCGUAGAUAUCGGGAGGAACACCAGUGGCGAAGGCGGCCUACUGGGCACUAACUGACGCUGAGGCUCGAAAGCAUGGGUAGCAAACAGGAUUAGAUACCCUCGUAUU